GACGAACGCUGGCGGCGUGCUUAACACAUGCAAGUCGAACGGUGAAGGUGGAGCUUGCUCCGCCGGAUCAGUGGCGAACGGGUGAGUAACACGUGGGCAACCUGCCCCUCACUUCGGGAUAACUCCGGGAAACCGGGGCUAAUACCGGAUACGACCUCCUUGGGCCUCCUUGGAGGUGGAAAGGUUUUCGGUGAGGGAUGGGCCCGCGGCCUAUCAGCUUGUUGGUGAGGUAGUGGCUCACCAAGGCGACGACGGGUAGCCGGCCUGAGAGGGCGACCGGCCACACUGGGACUGAGACACGGCCCAGACUCCUACGGGAGGCAGCAGUGGGGAAUAUUGCGCAAUGGGCGAAAGCCUGACGCAGCAACGCCGCGUGCGGGAUGAAGGCCUUCGGGUUGUAAACCGCUUUCAGCAGGGAAGAAGCCGCAAGGUGACGGUACCUGCAGAAGAAGCACCGGCUAACUACGUGCCAGCAGCCGCGGUAA
rnacentral:rRNA from 1 species